rnacentral:rRNA from 1 species
UACGUAGGGGGCAAGCGUUGUCCGGAUUUAUUGGGCGUAAAGAGCGUGUAGGCGGCCAAGCAGGUCCGCUGUGAAAACUCGAGGCUCAACCUCGAGACGUCGGUGGAAACCGUUUGGCUAGAGUCCGGAAGAGGAGAGUGGAAUUCCCGGUGUAGCGGUGAAAUGCGCAGAUAUCGGGAAGAACACCCGUGGCGAAGGCGGCUACUCUUGGGACCGUAUAGACGCUGAGAGCGAAAGCGUGGGGAGCAAACAGG